rnacentral:rRNA from 1 species
ACUGUGUUUAUCCUAAUUCCUUAAUCCUACUCGACCCCUUUAAUCAUACUGAGAACUUCUAUAAAAUUAUAGAACCUUUUAUGCUAAAACUAGUAACAAGAGGUAACCCCCUCUCUACAAUGUAGGUAUACGCCAGCAAGAACCCACCACUGACAACUAACAGAUCUAAAUAAAAGUAGCAACCUCCCAAGAAAAUACCACUCCACCCAACUGUUAACCUAACACCAGAACAUUUCAAGAAAGAUUAAAAGAAAGAGAAGGAAUUCGGCAAAUAUUAGUCCCGCCUGUUUACCAAAAACACCGCCUCUUGCCCCCCAUAAGAGGUCUAGCCUGCCCAGUGACUUCUGUUCAACGGCCGCGGUAUCCUAACCGUGCAAAGGUAGCGUAAUCACUUGUCUUCUAAAUAAAGACUAGUAUGAAAGGCAUCACGAGAACUAAGCUGUCUCCUCUCCCUAAUCAGUGAACCUAAUAACCCCGUGAAGAAGCGGGGAUUUUUAUAUAAGACGAGAAGACCCUAUGGAGCUUAAAACAUCAUAACACCUGCUACACUACCUACUUACCCCGGUUCUCCUCCCCAUAGCACCCUGAUUAUAUGUUUUUGGUUGGGGUGACCGCGGAGAAAAACCCAUCCUCCACAAUGAAAGGGACUUCCCUAAACAGUAAGCCACAGCUUUAUGUAUCAGCAAACUGACAUCAUUGACCCAAUAUAUUUGACUAACGAACCAAGUUACCCUAGGGAUAACAGCGCAAUCCACUUUGAGAGCCCCUAUCGACAAGUGGGCUUACGACCUCGAUGUUGGAU